rnacentral:rRNA from 1 species
CCUCAGCACGGGGAUAAACCCGGGAAACUGGGUAUAAUACCCGAUAGUUCUGGGAUGCUGGAAUGCUUCCAGGACGAAAGCUCCGGCGACUGAGGAUGGGUCUGCGGCCUAUCAGGUAGUAGUGGGUGUAAUGUACCUACUAGCCUACGACGGGUACGGGUCGUGAGAGCGAGAGCCCGGAGAUGGAUUCUGAGACACGAAUCCAGGCCCUACGGGGUGCAGCAGGCGCGAAAACUUUACAAUGCUGGCAACAGCGAUAAGGGGACCUCGAGUGCCAGGAUACAAUCUUGGCUGUCGUGAUGCCUAAAAAGCAUUGCAUAGCAAGGGCCGGGCAAGACCGGUGCCAGCCGCCGCGGUAACACCGGCGGCUCGAGUGGUAACCGCUAUUAUUGGGUCUAAAGGGUCUGUAGCCGGCCGGAUAAGUCUUUUGGGAAAUCCAGCUGCUCAACAGUUGGGCUUUCAGAAGAUACUGUUCGGCUCGAGGCCGGGAGAGGUGAGAGGUACUUCAGGGGUAGGGGUGAAAUCUUGUAAUCCUUGAAGGACCACCAGUGGCGAAGGCGUCUCACCAGAACGGUCCUGACGGCAAGGGACGAAAGCUAGGGGCACGAACCGGAUUAGAUACCCGGGUAGUCCUAGCCGUAAACGAUACUCGCUAGGUGUCAGCCACGGUGCGACCGUGGUUGGUGCCGUAGGGAAGCCGUGAAGCGAGCCACCUGGGAAGUACGGCCGCAAGGCUGAAA